rnacentral:rRNA from 1 species
AGAGUUAAAUAGUACGUGAAAUUGUUAAAAGGGAAACGAAUGAAACUAGUAAUUCGAGCAGUUAAUCAGCCAGUAGAUAGUAAUUCAUUGUAAUAAAUGAGCGUAAGCCUUGAGUUAUAAUGUUGUUGCAAUUUUAUGGUGCACUUGGCUGUUUGAAAAUCAACAUCAGUUUGAAUUGAUGGAAAAACCGUGACGGGAGGUAGCCAUUUCGGUGGUGUUUAACCGUCAUAUGUACACAUCAAAUUAGACUGAGGACUGCAGGGUACCCUUACGGGCAGGGCUACUUGGUACUGUGAAAUUCAAAGUUUUAGGCCAACUUGUUGACUGAAACGUUGCUGUUCUACACGUAUCAGGUUCCGCUACACUUACCCUUAGGAUGUUGACGUAAUGACUUUAAACGACC